ACUGGCCGCAAACGCCCGUCGCGAGAAUGGCGUCAACACUGCUGCAGCAACCGAGGCCACUAGGCAUGUCUGGGGACAUGUUUUACCACCCUACUGAAAACAAACGUGAGUUUGACCUUUUGCUACGGCGACGGGACUGAGCCAGCAGCCUAAGGAUGUCCAAGCCGCAACCCUUUUGAUGGCAAUAGGCGAAGACGCGAGAAGAACAUUCUAUACGUUCAAGUUCGACAGCGAAGACGAUAAAAAAAGACCUCGGAAUUAUUUCGGCAAUGUUCGAGGCGAAUUUCAAGCCGUCUGAGAACCUCACCUUUAACGAAUUCCGAUUUGGCUCCAGGGACCAACAAGAGGGAGAGUCGUUCAAUGACUGGCUUACGGAGCUGCGAAUCCUCGCGGGAAGAUGCGAAUUCGGUGAGCUUGAGGAACGGCUGAUUCGGAGCAGGAUAAUUCUCGGCAUCAAAUAUAAGGAUUUCCAGCAGAAGCUUUUCUCGGAAAACCCCUCGUUUUCAAAAGUAGUGGAAAUGUGCCGCGCAAGGUAACAAGCAAA